rnacentral:rRNA from 1 species
UACGAGGGGGGCGAGCGUUGUUCGGAAUUAUUGGGCGUAAAGGGUGCGUAGGCGGUUUGGUAAGUCUUAUGUGAAAUCUACAGGCUCAACUUGUAGUCUGCAUGAGAAACUGCCGGGCUUGAGUAUGGGAGAGGUGAGUGGAAUUCCUGGUGUAGCGGUGAAAUGCGUAGAUAUCAGGAGGAACACCUGUGGCGAAAGCGGCUCACUGGACCAUAACUGACGCUGAUGCACGAAAGCCAGGGGAGCAAACAGG